AACGAACGCUGGCGGCAGGCUUAACACAUGCAAGCCGAGCGCCCCGCAAGGGGAGCGGCAGACGGGUGAGUAACGCGUGGGAAUCUACCCAUCUCUACGGAAUAACGCAUGGAAAAGUAUGCUAAUACCGUAUACGUCCUUCGGGAGAAAGAUUUAUCGGAGAUGGAGGAGCCCGCGUUGGAUUAGCUAGUUGGUGGGGUAAAGGCCUACCAAGGCGACGAUCCAUAGCUGGUCUGAGAGGAUGAUCAGCCACACUGGGACUGAGACACGGCCCAGACUCCUACGGGAGGCAGCAGUGGGGAAUAUUGGACAAUGGGCGCAAGCCUGAUACAGCCAUGCCGCGUGAGUGAUGAAGGCCCUAGGGUUGUAAAGCUCUUUCACCGGUGAAGAUAAUGACGGUAACCGGAGAAGAAGCCCCGGCUAACUUCGUGCCAGCAGCCGCAGUAAAAC
rnacentral:rRNA from 1 species